CAGCAGCCGCGGUAAUACGAAGGGUGCAAGCGUUAAUCGGAAUUACUGGGCGUAAAGCGUGCGCAGGCGGUUUGUUAAGACAGAUGUGAAAUCCCCGGGCUCAACCUGGGAACUGCAUUUGUGACUGGCAAGCUAGAGUGUGGCAGAGGGGGGUGGAAUUCCGCGUGUAGCAGUGAAAUGCGUAGAUAUGCGGAGGAACACCGAUGGCGAAGGCAAUCCCCUGGGCCUGCACUGACGCUCGUGCACGAAAGCGUGGGGAGCAAACAGGAUUAGAUACCCCCGUAGUCCCUGUCUCUUAUAC
rnacentral:rRNA from 1 species